rnacentral:rRNA from 2 species
UUCUGGUCUCAAAUCAGUAGGAUCACCCGCUGAACUUAAGC